rnacentral:rRNA from 1 species
UACAGGGGGUGCAAACGUUGCUCGGAAUUAUUGGGCGUAAAGCGCACGUAGGCGGUUUGUUAUGUCGGAUGUGAAAGCCCUUGGCUCAACUGAGGAAGUGCAUCCGAAACUGGCAAGCUAGAGUAUGUAAGAGGGUCGCGGAAUUCCCGGUGUAGAGGUGAAAUUCGUAGAUAUCGGGAGGAACACCGGUGGCGAAGGCGGCGACCUGGGACAAUACUGACGCUGAGGUGCGAAAGCGUGGGGAGCGAACAGG